UUGCCGAUUCGUUGAGAUUCAUUCAGUUACAGAAUUCGUUCGUGUGAGGUUGGUGCAAGCGGAAGAAAUAGUUUUGCAAGUUGUAGAAAAAUAGUAAAAUUGUUUGAGAAAAAGCUGUUGUGGGAAGCUAGUAGUGAAGUUGUAAAACCGACUAUGAUUUUUUGUUGUGUGGCUAGCAAAGCGCCGAUGUUGUUGCGUGGUGUAGAGUUGUGUUGUUGGCUGUCUAGUUGGCGAUUUUCUACGUUUGCUUUGCAUCGUGACUUUGCGUGUGAACUUUAAAGUGAUAAAUAAUGGAAAUAUGGCAAACAAAAAUAGACUUUGAGUAUGAAAAAAAUGUUUAUAAACAUUUUGUGCUAAGAAAGGAGGCGCUAAGCGUUGGGAGCGGCGGAGUAGCGGCUGGACACUCGAAAUUGACUUGUUAAACCAGAUGCAACCCAGCUCAAUUGACUUGCUGCCCUGUUGCUACAAAUAAUCCUCAAACAUACUUACUAUUAUGUCAAUAUGUAUGUAAGCUCGAACAUAUCAUAUUUCUUUUUUGGCUGUGUGCUGAUUUCAUUCAUGAGCGCCGUUCGGCAAAUAUUUGUUUUGUGACGACGACGCGAGAAAAAGAAGAGCCCAAAUAUGUGCUAAAAGCAGAACUGAAAAUUGCAGAAAUAACAAAAUGGAUGAUUUAUCAUUCAAGUUCGCGCACUAAAAUGCCACAUAUAUUUUGAAUACGGAAGAGAACUGAAUUUCAGCAAAUUUACUGUGUCAAAAGAU